rnacentral:rRNA from 1 species
UGCAGUCGAGCGGAUGAUGGGAGCUUGCUCCUGGAUUCAGCGGCGGACGGGUGAGUAAUGCCUAGGAAUCUGCCUGGUAGUGGGGGACAACGUUUCGAAAGGAACGCUAAUACCGCAUACGUCCUACGGGAGAAAGCAGGGGACCUUCGGGCCUUGCGCUAUCAGAUGAGCCUAGGUCGGAUUAGCUAGUUGGUGGGGUAAUGGCUCACCAAGGCUACGAUCCGUAACUGGUCUGAGAGGAUGAUCAGUCACACUGGAACUGAGACACGGUCCAGACUCCUACGGGAGGCAGCAGUGGGGAAUAUUGGACAAUGGGCGAAAGCCUGAUCCAGCCAUGCCGCGUGUGUGAAGAAGGUCUUCGGAUUGUAAAGCACUUUAAGUUGGGAGGAAGGGCAGUAAGUUAAUACCUUGCUGUUUUGACGUUACCGACAGAAUAAGCACCGGCUAACUCUGUGCCAG